GAGUUUGAUUCUGGCUCAGGGUGAACGCUAGCGGUGCGCCUAACACAUGCAAGUCGAGCGGGAGUAUUUUGUAGCUUGCUACAAAAUAUGAGAGCGGCGAACGGGUGAGUAACACGUUGGAAUCUGCCCCUAAGUCAGGGAUAGCCCAGGGAAACCUGGAUUAAUACCGGAUAGUCUCUUUGGAGUAAAAAUUUAUUGCUUAGGGAGGAGCCUGCGUACUAUCAGCUAGUUGGUGAGGUAAGAGCUUACCAAGGCAAUGACGGUUAACUGGUCUGAGAGGAUGAUCAGUCACAAUGGAACUGAGACACGGUCCAUACUCCUACGGGAGGCAGCAGUGAGGAAUCUUCCACAAUGGACGAAAGUCUGAUGGAGCGACACCGCGUGAAGGAUGAAGGCCUAACGGUUGUAAACUUCUUUUCUGAAGGAGCAUAAUGAGAGU
rnacentral:rRNA from 1 species